UACGUAGGGCGCAAGCGUUAUCCGGAAUUAUUGGGCGUAAGAGCUCGUAGGCGGUUUGUCGCGUCUGCCGUGAAAGUCCGGGGCUCAACUCCGGAUCUGCGGUGGGUACGGGCAGACUAGAGUGAUGUAGGGGAGACUGGAAUUCCUGGGUGUAGCGGUGAAAUGCGCAGAUAUCAGGAGGACACCGAUGGCGAAGGCAGGCUCGUGGGCAUUGACUGACGCUGAGGAGCGAAAGCAUGGGGAGCGAACAGG
rnacentral:rRNA from 1 species